GACGAACGCUGGCGGCGUGCUUAACACAUGCAAGUCGAACGGAAAGGCCCCUUUGGGGGUACUCGAGUGGCGAACGGGUGAGUAACACGUGAGUAACCUGCCCUUGACUUCGGGAUAACUUCAGGAAACUGGGGCUAAUACCGGAUAGGAAUCCUUGCUGCAUGGUGGGGGUUGGAAAGCUUCGGCGGUUUUGGAUGGACUCGCGGCUUAUCAGCUUGUUGGUGGGGUAGUGGCUUACCAAGGCUUUGACGGGAAGCCGGCCUGAGAGGGCGACCGGCCACAUUGGGACUGAGAUACGGCCCAGACUCCUACGGGAGGCAGCAGUGGGGAAUAUUGCACAAUGGGCGGAAGCCUGAUGCAGCAACGCCGCGUGCGGGAUGACGGCCUUCGGGUUGUAAACCGCUUUCAGCAGGGGCGAAGCUUGUGGUGACGGUACCUGCAGAAGAAGCACCGGCUAACUACGUG
rnacentral:rRNA from 1 species